AACCGUGCAAAGGUAGCGUAAUCAUUUGUCUAUUAAUUGUAGACCAGUAUGAAAGGCAUAAUGAGGGUCUAUCUGUCUCUUAUAAUAAAUCAAUUAAACUGAUCCCCUAGUAAAAAAGCUAGAAUAUCCACACAAGACCAGAAGACCCUGUGAAGCUUAAACUAACCUAUUAAACCCUAUAAUACUUACUUUCGGUUGGGGCGACCUUGGAAAAAAAAAGAACUUCCAAAUAUAUGACUAUAAAUCACACACCGGCCCACAAGCCUCACACAGACCCAGCAUGCCUGACAAUUGAACCAAGUUACUCCAGGGAUAACAGCGCCAUCUUCUUCAAGAGUCCAUAUCAAAAAGAAGGUUUACGACCUCGAUGUUGGAUCAGGACAUCCUAA
rnacentral:rRNA from 1 species